GGGUCUUUAAGCUUCUUGGGCAUCUUUUGUAUCCCUACAAAACUAUACUCCUCAGUGAGUGCUACGGUAUCAGCAUCCUAAAACUUAACUUUCUUAAUGACCACCUCCUUCAAGUACUUGCCAUACUGGGACAUUUCUUGCAAAACAUCUAAAAGAGGAAGGUUAAUAUAAACCUCUCUGACCAUGUCAAAUAAUAUUUUGAAGAAUUCAUCCU
rnacentral:lncRNA from 1 species